rnacentral:rRNA from 1 species
UACGUAGGUGGCAAGCGUUGUCCGGAAUUAUUGGGCGUAAAGCGCGCGCAGGCGGUUUCUUAAGUCUGAUGUGAAAGCCCACGGCUUAACCGUGGAAGGUCAUUGGAAACUGGGAGACUUGAGUGCAGAAGAGAAGAGCGGAAUUCCACGUGUAGCGGUGAAAUGCGUAGAGAUGUGGAGGAACACCAGUGGCGAAGGCGGCUCUCUGGAACGGUACUGACGCUGAGACGCGAAAGCGUGGGGAGCGAACAGG